rnacentral:rRNA from 1 species
AUUGAACGCUUGCGGCAGGCCUAACACAUGCAAGUCGAGCGAGCGGCGGACGGGUGAGUAAUGUCUGGGAAACUGCCUGAUGGAGGGGGAUAACUACUGGAAACGGUAGCUAAUACCGCAUCCCAUCAGAUGUGCCCAGAUGGGAUUAGCUAGUGGGUGGGGUAACGGCUCACCGAGGCGACGAUCCCUAGCUGGUCUGAGAGGAGGACCAGCCAAGCGGGAACUGAGACACGGUCCAGACGCCGACGGGAGGGAGCAGUGGGGAAUAUUGCACAAUGGGCGCAAGGCUGAAGCAGCCAUGCCGCGUGUGUGAAGAAGGCCUUCGGGUUGUAAAGCACUGUCAGCGGGGAGGCGUUACCCGCAGAAGAAGCACCGGCUAACUCCGUGCCAGCAGCCGCGGUAAUAC